GACGAACGCUGGCGGCGUGCUUAACACAUGCAAGUCGAACGGUAAGGCCCUUCGGGGUACACGAGUGGCGAACGGGUGAGUAACACGUGGGUGAUCCGCCCUGCACUUCGGGAUAAGCCUGGGAAACUGGGUCUAAUACCGGAUAGGACUCCGGACUGCAUGGUCUGGGGUGGAAAGCUUUUGCGGUGUGGGAUGGGCCCGCGGCCUAUCAGCUUGUUGGUGGGGUGAUGGCCUACCAAGGUGACGACGGGUAGCCGGCCUGAGAGGGUGACCGGCCACACUGGGACUGAGAUACGGCCCAGACUCCUACGGGAGGCAGCAGUGGGGAAUCUUGCACAAUGGGCGCAAGCCUGAUGCAGCGACGCCGCGUGAGGGAUGACGGCCUUCGGGUUGUAAACCUCUUUCAGCAUCGACGAAGCGAAAGUGACGGUAGGUGCAGAAGAAGGACCGGCCAACUACGUGCCAGCCGCCGCAGUAA
rnacentral:rRNA from 1 species